rnacentral:tRNA from 1 species
ACUUAGGAUAACUUAAACCAAGAGCCUUCAAAGCCCAAAAUAGGGGAUACCCCCUAGUUUCUGCACAAGACUUG